rnacentral:rRNA from 1 species
UGGGGAAUUUUGGACAAUGGGGGAAACCCUGAUCCAGCCAUGCCGCGUGAGUGAAGAAGGCCUUCGGGUUGUAAAGCUCUUUCGGCGGGGAAGAAAUCGCACAGGCUAAUACUCUGUGUGGAUGACGGUACCCGAAUAAGAAGCACCGGCUAACUACGUGCCAGCAGCCGCGGUAAUACGUAGGGUGCGAGCGUUAAUCGGAAUUACUGGGCGUAAAGCGUGCGCAGGCGGUUUGCUAAGACAGGUGUGAAAUCCCCGGGCUUAACCUGGGAAUGGCGCUUGUGACUGGCAGGCUUGAGUACGGCAGAGGGGGGUGGAAUUCCACGUGUAGCAGUGAAAUGCGUAGAGAUGUGGAGGAACACCGAUGGCGAAGGCAGCCCCCUGGGUCGAUACUGACGCUCAUGCACGAAAGCGUGGGGAGCAAACAGGAUUAGAUACCCUGGUAGUCCACGCCCUAAACGAUGUCAACUAGUUGUUGGUAGGGUAAAACCUAUUAGUAACGAAGCUAACGCGUGAAGUUGACCGCCUGGGGAGUACGAUCGCAAGGUUG